rnacentral:rRNA from 1 species
AUGGCCGGCGACGAGAACACCGACUUCGUGCAGAUCGCCGCCGGCGACCAGGUCAAGUUGGCCAGGUUGAGGGAGAUCCGUUCUUGGUUUGACAACACAAGGCAGAUGAACUGGACGGCAAUGGCCACUCUCAAGAAUAUAAUGAAGAAGGAGAGGGCAAAGCUUUGCCCCCCGCCCGCACAACCGAUUGACAAGAUCGAGAUCCUCCUCUGGGCGAUGGAGCAGGCCAAUUCGUCCAGCGAGUGGACCAGGCGGAGGUGGUGGGCGUUCAGAUCCAGGGUAGAGCAUCCACUGGAUCAGGAACCCACCGUGCACGAGGUGCCGUUGCAGAUUGUGCAGCCUCCAACCGAGUCACCGGAGACUGCGAAGCGCAAGAUGAGGAGGACAGUGGUCGCGACCUUGCUUCCCUGCCGUUCUCCACGCUUCCCUCGCCGCUCUCCUCGUCUGAACGGCGGCGGUAGCUAUGUUUAG